UUAUCCAAGUAAUUGUUGAAACAGUGUAGAGACUGAUGGCCGAUGAAGAAUGGGGCAAAUGUGAAAAAAAAGACUGGGUCGAGGAAGUCGGUGAGAAGAAAGAUGGCGGCUGUUUUGAUCGUGCAGGUUGAGCAGAUGGUGGUGGUGUCACAUGGUAUGAACCUACUGCGGUCAAGACAGCAUCGAAUCCAGCUGAAGUGCUUCCUCCUGGCAUUGUACACGUGUAUGAUGGGUCUUCUGUCACACUGAACUGGAGCUACAGUCUGACGUUAGGCCUAGGCCUUGGUGGUCUCGUAAUUAAAUUCAACGGGUUUGGCAAAGUCAGCAUUAGAUCAGCAGAUGGUUCAACUGGCAUGGUCCUGUCAGCUAUAAUUUUCAGAAACGGUUCAGCGUAAGCUGACAACUCCAGGAAGAAUUUCUCUGUCUAUCUCUGCGGUGGCUGUUACGGACGAUAUUGCCAAUGGAGAAUAUUUAGAUGCGAGUUCAGUGAUUCCAAUAUUGGUCCUUGGAAACGAGCAAAUACAGGUGUAAGUCAUAGCCUGGUAAGUUUAAAGUAUUGCUGGCUUUUAGAGAGGCACAAUUUAACUGUAAAAUAUUAUUAUCCACAUAUGUCAAAAAAAAA
rnacentral:lncRNA from 1 species